AUUGAACGCUGGCGGCAUGCUUUACACAUGCAAGUCGAACGGUAACAGGCCUUCGGGUGCUGACGAGUGGCGAACGGGUGAGUAAUGCAUCGGAACGUACCCAGAGGUGGGGGAUAACGCAGCGAAAGCUGUGCUAAUACCGCAUGUGAUCUGAGGAUGAAAGCGGGGGACCGAGCAGCAAUGUUUGGCCUCGCGCCUUUGGAGCGGCCGAUGUCGGAUUAGCUAGUUGGUGGGGUAAAGGCCUACCAAGGCGACGAUCCGUAGCUGGUCUGAGAGGACGACCAGCCACACUGGGACUGAGACACGGCCCAGACUCCUACGGGAGGCAGCAGUGGGGAAUUUUGGACAAAGGGCGCAAGCCUGAUCCAGCAAUGCCGCGUGCGGGAGGAAGGCCUUCGGGUUGUAAACCGCUUUUGGCAGGAACGAAACGGUGUCCGCUAAUACCGGGCGCUAAUGACGGUACCUGCAGAAUAAGCACCGGCUAACUACGUG
rnacentral:rRNA from 1 species